rnacentral:rRNA from 1 species
UACGAAGGGGGACUAGCGUUGUUCGGAAUCACUGGGCGUAAAGCGCACGUAGGUGGAUUUGUAAGUCAGGGGUGAAAUCCCGGGGCUCAACCUCGGAACUGCCUUUGAUACUGCGAAUCUUGAGUCCGAUAGAGGUGGGUGGAAUUCCUAGUGUAGAGGUGAAAUUCGUAGAUAUUAGGAAGAACACCAGUGGCGAAGGCGGCCCACUGGAUCGGUACGUGACACUGG